AUUGAACGCUGGCGGCAGGCCUAACACAUGCAAGUCGAACGAGCGGCGGACGGGUGAGUAAUGUCUGGGAAACUGCCUGAUGGAGGGGGAUAACUACUGGAAACGGUGGCUAAUACCGCAUACUAUCGGAUGUACCCAGAUGGGAUUAGCUAGUAGGUGGGGUAACGGCUCACCUAGGCGACGAUCCCUAGCUGGUCUGAGAGGAUGACCAGCCACACUGGAACUGAGACACGGCCCAGACUCCUACGGGAGGCAGCAGUGGGGAAUAUUGCACAAUGGGCGCAAGCCUGAUGCAGCCAUGCCGCGUGUAUGAAGAAGGCCUUCGGGUUGUAAAGUACUUUCAGCGGGGAGGCGUUACCCGCAGAAGAAGCACCGGCUAACUCCGUGCCAGCAGCCGCGGUAAUAC
rnacentral:rRNA from 1 species